rnacentral:rRNA from 1 species
GAUGAACGCUGGCGGCGUGCUUAACACAUGCAAGUCGAACGGAAAGGCCCAAGCUUGCUUGGGUACUCGAGUGGCGAACGGGUGAGUAACACGUGGGUGAUCUGCCCUGCACUUCGGGAUAAGCCUGGGAAACUGGGUCUAAUACCGGAUAGGACCACAUUUUGGAUGGUGUGGUGUAAAGUUUUUCGGUGUGGGAUGAGCUCGCGGCCUAUCAGCUUGUUGGUGGGGUAAUGGCCUACCAAGGCGUCGACGGGUAGCCGGCCUGAGAGGGUGUAAGGCCACAUUGGGACGGAGAUACGGGCCAGACACCUACGGGGGGGAGAAGUGGGGAGGAUAGCACAAUGGGGGCAAGCCUGAUGCAGAGACGCCGCGUGGGGGAUGACGGCCUUCGGGUUGUAAACUCCUUUCGCUAGGGACGAAGCGUUUUUGUGACGGUACCUGGAAAAGAAGCACCGGCUAACUACGUG